GCUUACGGCCAUACCACCUGAACACGCCCGAUCUCGUCUGAUCUCGGAAGCUAAGCAGGGUCGGGCCUGGUCAGUACUUGGAUGGGAGACCGCCUGGGAAUACCAGGUGCUGUAAGCU
ensembl:rRNA 5S_rRNA 5S ribosomal RNA